UAGGUAGGGGGCAAGCGUUGUUCGGAAUUACUGGGCGUAAAGGGCGCGUAGGCGGCCAGUUGCGUCGGGUGUGAAAGCCCCGGGCUCAACCUGGGAGGUGCACUUGAUACGGGCUGGCUGGAAUCCGGGAGAGGAUGGUGGAAUUCCCAGUGUAGAGGUGAAAUUCGAAGAUAUUGGGAAGAACACUGAUGGCGAAGGCAGCCAUCUGGACCGGGAUUGACGGUGAGGCGCGAAAGCGUGGGGAGCAAACAGG
rnacentral:rRNA from 1 species